rnacentral:lncRNA from 1 species
GUUUUCCUGCCUUGUCCUUGGGAAGAAAAAAGAGAAAACCAGAUUACAUGGGGUAGACAGAGGGGAUAGGGCAUUGUGAUGGGACACCCCGUGGUUGCAAUGUACUGAGUAUGAGUAACCAGGGAAGGAAUGAUGGUGCGGUUUAUGCCUUACAGACCAGGCUGUAACUUGUAAGGUAUUUUCAUAUCCUUCAGCGCACAAGUGCCAGAGAAAAGUGGCACCCAGACAAUAAUACAGAUGGUGAACAUAAUUAGGAAGGAGAGCCUUGAGAGAUGCUGCUAAUGAAGACAAAUGAAGGAAAAGGAACUUGACCCCAGAGUAUGAAAUUUUGCUCAUUAAGAAGUGCUUCCAAUUGGCUGAUUGAUAUUAUUUUGAUGUAGAUGGGGUAAUUAAUGACAGGAAGUAAUGCAGCAGGAUAUGAGUUGUGCGGAAUGCACUUCAGUCAAUCUACCUUUUAUUAUGUCUUGGUUUAUUUAUGCACGCUACAUUUGUUAUGCUGCUGCCUGAUGCGGUUCCCACCUUCAUUUGGAAUUUCCUUCACUUGUUUUCUUCAUUCUUUUAUGCUAUUUUGGGAUUUCUUCCUUUUUUUAUGUUUCUGCAUGUAAUUUCCCAAUCUGUUUUUAGUAAUACGAGGAUGCACUUUCAUGGCCACAAGGAACACUUCUGCAUGUGAAACAUUUCUUACAAUAGAAAGUGCCAUUGAAACAAACGAUACUUCCUUCCUACUUCAUUGCACAGGCUAUGGGUAUUGCCA